rnacentral:rRNA from 1 species
GACGAACGCUGGCGGCGUGCUUAACACAUGCAAGUCGAACGGAAAGGCCCUGCUUUUGUGGGGUGCUCGAGUGGCGAACGGGUGAGUAACACGUGAGUAACCUGCCCUUGACUUUGGGAUAACUUCAGGAAACUGGGGCUAAUACCGGAUAGGAGCUCCUGCUGCAUGGUGGGGGUUGGAAAGUUUCGGCGGUUGGGGAUGGACUCGCGGCUUAUCAGCUUGUUGGUGGGGUAGUGGCUUACCAAGGCUUUGACGGGUAGCCGGCCUGAGAGGGUGACCGGCCACAUUGGGACUGAGAUACGGCCCAGACGCCUACGGGAGGCAGCAGUGCGGAAUAUUGCACAAUGGGCGGAAGGCUGAUGCAGCAACGCCGCGUGCGGGAUGACGGCCUUCGGGUUGUAAACCGCUUUCGCCUGUGACGAAGCGUGAGUGACGGUAAUGGGUAAAGAAGCACCGGCUAACUACGUG